AGGUCAGAGAAGUAAGAUUGGGCAAGGUUAUCACAAGUUGUCAAUUUCAUUAUAUACUUUAAAAUGGUCUCUGAUGCAACACUGUUGACACAAUAAAACAAAACAAAACAAAACAAGAAAGACUGAGUUCUGAGCAACACUAGGCAAAUAGGCAAAUGCUUUUUUUGAAUAUAGACAAAUGCACUCAUUGUAAUGGUGAAGGACCACUUAAAUGGAAAACUUGCUGAUAAUGAACAUUUCCUGACAUUUUAAUCAACUACAAAUUACAAAUCACCAGAAAUGUGUAAUAGGUUUUUCCUUGCUUGACAGGCCAGAGGUCAAAAUAGCUGUAGAGAAGCUAAGGUUCUAUAAAUAAAUAUGUCAAAACACCCAGCCUAAUAAAGUGAGUUUAUGCAGAGCAAGGACAACUGUGCUUUCUGUGUCAAAAAAGUGCUCUGAUGUUACGCCCAAAGUGGGACCUCAACAUAGUCCAUUGACAGGGGGUAGGUGUACAGUUAGCCUAUGUGACACCAGCACACACAAAAAUCAAAUGAGGGUUUUAGCCUGGGGGCAGGGCAGUAACCUCUCUCGUUAUUCAAGCAUCUUUCUCUUUCACCUCAUAUUUUCAGUUACUAAUACAUAUACCCUUGCAUAAAGUGAGCCAUGUCACCUGAAGAGGGGGCGAGUUAACGUUCUAAGCAACAAAAGAUUAGGGGAACUUUCACACUGGCAGGAUCUAGUUGGGAGGCCUAUCAAAACGUUUCAGGGUGAACCACCUGAAUGUAAACAUAAUAUUCAUGACUGUAAUAAGAGGGGCUGAUUAAUUCUUAAGGAUUUCUGGUAGGUGGGGCAUCCUUUGAGCUUGUGAAGGGGUAAUGGAUAUUGGCAGAUAGCCACAUAGAACUAAUGUUGACAUAGAACUAAUGUUGACAUAGAACUAAUACAAUAGAAUGUUGACAGUUCCACAUGAAAAAGUUGUGUAACUAACAGCGCCCGGAAUGCCACUGCUACGAAUGGGCAUUGAUUUCAAGUUAUGAGGUAACAAUGCUUUACCUCAGAGAUGGCGCGAAUGAUUCUCCAGUCCUCCCUUGCCAUGCCAGGAGCUGUGACGGCCACGUGAGUCUGCUGUGCUCGUCCUUCAGUGUUGACGUGCUGUGUCAUACUUUGGGCGAAUUCUCAAUUUCCACCAAGCACAUCCGGCAGUUCCCAGCCACGGACAGACGCUCGUGGUAACAGAAGCGAGGAAAGUUUUCAAGUCAUACAACCGACAACGCCAAGGGCUCCUCUUGUUGGCAGUUGGUGUUGUUGUUGGGUGGUGGUUGUGGCGGCAGGGAGACCGACU